CGAAAGCCUGACGGAGCAACGCCGCGUGAGGGAUGAAGGCCUCUGGGCUGUAAACCUCUUUUCUCAAGGAAGAAGAUCUGACGGUACUUGAGGAAUAAGCCACGGCUAAUUCCGUGCCAGCAGACGCGGUAAUACGGGAGUGGCAAGCGUUAUCCGGAAUUAUUGGGCGUAAAGCGUCCGCAUGCGGCCUUGUAAGUCUGCCGUUAAAGCGUGGAGCUCAACUCCAUUUCAGCGGUGGAAACUACAAGGCUUGAGUGUGGUAAGGGCAGAGGGAAUUCCCGGUGUAGCGGUGAAAUGCGUAGAUAUCGGGAAGAACACCAGUGGCGAAAGCGCUCUGCUGGGCCAUAACUGACGCUCAUGGACGAAAGCCAGGGGAGCG
rnacentral:rRNA from 1 species